CGCAGAGUGAACGCGCUCCGUGUUCGUGUCGGACGUGUUGUGGAAACCGGGAGGGGAAAUACGGUCCUUUAAUCUGAGGAUAUAACCGGGAGGCUCGAAGUGAGUCGAUAGAGGAAUGCUGUAGGGUCCUUCCCCGGACCGGACGCUGUAGACCGGAGCUGAUAGGCGGUCUGCGCGUCAAGGACACGGCGGCUGAUUGGCGGUGUUCUCGGUGUUCGGUGAACAGCGGCCGGAUGAACCGGAGAGAUCGGACCGCGCGCCGCCCCGGCAUGUGAGGAGAGGAUGAACAUCGUCUAAGAACCAGUGGUAGCGGAGAAGUUCAGGGUCUUCAGGAAGGUACCCGGGAGGUGAGCUGUCAGGACCCGGGAGGUGGACUAUCAGAACCCGGGAGGUGGACUCUCACAACCCGGGAGGUGGACUACCAGGACCCGGGAGGUGGACUACCAGAACCCGGGAGGUGGACUACCAGGACCCGGGAGGUGGACUACCAGGACCCGGGAGGUGGACUAUCAGAACCCGGGAGGCGGACAAUCAGAACCCGGGAGGCGGACUGUUUGCUCGGGGAUCAGAGUAUUUUUCUGCAAGCCUUUAAUUUCUCUCCUCCCGCUCUGCGGUCUGGUGAGGUGUGUGCGUGUGCGUGUGUGUGUGCGUGUGUGACUGUGAGCGUGUGUGUGUGAGUGAGUGUGUGUUCUCGGGAGUGUGAGUCCACGAGCCCGGUUCCCCGGUCGCCCCUGUCCGGUCCCACGCGGACCCUCCGGUGCACAGAGCGAUCUGCUCGGAACGGAACCCAAGAGAGAAGAGAGUUGGACAAGCAGUAACGGAACUCGACCGGUUCUCUCUCUCUCUCUCUCUCUCUCUCUCUCUCUCUCUCUCUCUCUCUCUCUCUCUCUCUCCGGUGAACGGUAUUGUUUUACCCGGCCUCUCGGAGUCUCCGUGAGGGACGGGACCGGAGGAGCAGCGAGCAGACGGAUGAAGCCGGACGAGCGGGGUCAUCGUGGAAAACGUCUGAGAGGCGGGACUCUCAGGGCGGCUGGAGGUCUGGCCCUGCCAGUGGAGCCACAGCGGACUGUCAGGCGACCAGAAGGUUAAUGGUUCGAUCCCCGGCUCCUCCC
ensembl:lncRNA